UGAACUCGCUGUGAAGAUGCAGUGUACCCGCGGCAAGACGGAAAGACCCCGUGAACCUUUACUAUAGCUUGACACUGAACAUUGAGCCUUGAUGUGUAGGAUAGGUGGGAGGCUUUGAAGUGUGGACGCCAGUCUGCAUGGAGCCGGCCUUGAAAUACCACCCUUUAAUGUUUGAUGUUCUAACGUUGACCCGUGAUCCGGGUUGCGGACAGUGUCUGGUGGGUAGUUUGACUGGGGCGGUCUCCUCCUAAAGAGUAACGGAGGAGCACGAAGGUUGGCUAAUCCUGGUCGGACAUCAGGAGGUUAGUGCAAUGGCAUAAGCCAGCUUGACUGCGAGCGUGACGGCGCGAGCAGGUGCGAAAGCAGGUCAUAGUGAUCCGGUGGUUCUGAAUGGAAGGGCCAUCGCUCAACGGAUAAAAGGUACUCCGGGGAUAACAGGCUGAUACCGCCCAAGAGUUCAUAUCGACGGCGGUGUUUGGCACCUCGAUGUCGGCUCAUCACAUCCUGGGGCUGAAGUAGGUCCCAAGGGUAUGGCUGUUCGCCAUUUAAAGUGGUACGCGAGCUGGGUUUAGAACGUCGUGAGACAGUUCGGUCCCUAUCUGCCGUGGGCGCUGGAGAACUGAGGGGGGCUGCUCCUAGUACGAGAGGACCGGAGUGGACGCAUCACUGGUGUUCGGGUUGUCAUGCCAAUGGCACUGCCCGGUAGCUAAAUGCGGAAGAGAUAAGUGCUGAAAGCAUCUAAGCACGAAACUUGCCCCGAGAUGAGUUCUCCCUGACUCCUUGAGAGUCCUGAAGGAACGUUGAAGACGACGACGUUGAUAGGCCGGGUGUGUAAGCGCAGCGAUGCGUUGAGCUAACCGGUACUAAUGAACCGUGAGG
rnacentral:rRNA from 1 species